rnacentral:rRNA from 1 species
GAUGAGCGCUGGCGGCGUGCUUAACACAUGCAAGUCGAACGAUUAAGACGGCUUCGGCCGUGUAUAGAGUGGCGAACGGGUGAGUAACACGUGACCAACCUGCCCCGCGCUCCGGGACAACCGCUGGAAACGGCGGCUAAUACCGGAUGCUCCGGGGAGGCCCCAUGGCCUCCCCGGGAAAGCCCUGACGGCGCGGGAUGGGGUCGCGGCCCAUUAGGUAGACGGCGGGGUAACGGCCCACCGUGCCCGCGAUGGGUAGCCGGACUGAGAGGUCGACCGGCCACAUUGGGACUGAGAUACGGCCCAGACUCCUACGGGAGGCAGCAGUGGGGAAUUUUGCGCAAUGGGGGAAACCCUGACGCAGCAACGCCGCGUGCGGGACGAAGGCCUUCGGGUUGUAAACCGCUUUCAGCAGGGAAGACAUAGACGGUAC